UCAUACAACGAGAGGUUCUCGGGGCUGUCGCUGACCUUUCAACGGGUCGUGCACGCCCUGGGCACUCUCACACAUCCAUCUCACCCCUUUGUGCAUCACCGCGUGGGUCCUCCUUUGCAAGAGGGCUCGCGUUUUCACACAAAACUCGAUACAGUGUAGAAUGUAUUUUCUUUUUGCGGUGAUACGCAAUCAAUA
rnacentral:misc_RNA from 1 species